CAGGUUGAACAUCUGGCACUUAUUAGAAGCUCAUUAAAUGAUACUUCUUUUGCAUACUUCUUUUUGAAAUUUAAGGAGACUCAACACUACUAGACUGCAACAAGUAGCCAUGGGCUUGGAAAACAUCUUCCUCUCCAAGUAGAAACCUGGAUUAAAUAAAAAGAAACAGCUUGCUAGUCAGCAGCAAUCUUCCUGGUCUUGUGGAAUCAUGCUUCAAGGCAGGCAGGCCACAGUUGUCAUGGCAUGGUGGGCCAGUGAGUUGUUCUCCAAAGAAGAGUCGCCAUAAAGCCUUACUUGGUAUGGGAAGCUCUGCCCUGGCACAGCCAAACCACUCUGCAGAGUCCGGCCCUCCAACGGUCUGAGGAACAGUGAACUGGCCCCCUGUUUAAAAAGUUUGAGGACGCCUGCUGAGGAAACGAUUUGGGAAGGACAAUGUGAUUUUGUCCGACAUAAGGAAGCCUCCUGAUCAUGUCUUCCAUAGCGGCCCAUUUAUUUAUUCUGAUAUCUUGGAUUACAAGAAUCUUCGGGAGAUUGUGGUAAACAACCACAUCACCUGACUGUUUCAUUAUAGUGCUUUGCUCAGUGCGGUUGGAGAAGCAAACGUGUCCCUGGCGAGAGCUGUGAAUGUAACUGGAUUGCCUCAUAUUCUGGACGUCGCAGCAGAGCACAAUGUGCGACUGUUCAUGCCCAGUCCCAUCAGGGCUUUUGGACCUACCUCUCCCUGGAAUCUGACCCCUGAUCUCUGCAUUUAGAGACCCAGGACCAUGUAUGGGGUGUGCAAGGUCCAGGCAGAGCUCAUGGGAGAGUAUUAUCAUUAUCGGUAUGGGUUAGAUUUCUGAUGCCUGACAUACGCUGGAAUCACUUUUCCUGACUCCCAGCCUGGGAAGGAACUGACUAUGCAGUCCAGAUCUUCCAUGAUGCUGCAAAGCAUGGCAAAUUCGAGUGCAACCUGGACUCUAGCACAGGGCUCCCAGUGAUGUACAUUGACGAUGGCCUCCGGGCCACCCUGGAAGUCAUCCAUGAGGCCCUACAAUGUCAGUGCCAUGAGCUUCACCCCCCAGGAGCUGGCCCAGGAGGUUCUCAAGCACAUCCCGGAAUUCCGAUCAUAUACCCUGUGGAUGUGUUCGCCAGGCCACAGCAGAUAGUUGGCUGAUGAACUUUGAUGACAGCAAUGCUCUAAAGGACUGGGGAUGGAAACAUGAUUUUGACCUCCCAGAGUUGGUGACCACAAUGUUGAACUUCCAUGGUUUGGAAGUUCAUGGCCCAGGCCAAUUGAAGGAAUCUGAGGAAUCUUGUACCCUGGACUGCUGUCAAGAACUGUCACCACCCUGAGGUUAUAGACCCCAAGGAGCCUUCGUUAUUUGGAGUUGACUAUUUGGGCUACAUUUUGAACUCACAGCUCAAAAUGAACUGACCUGCCAGGUGGAGGACAACAGAGUUACCUUUAAGCAUUUUCAAAAUGUUUAUAGGUUUGAUGGGAGGACUUCUCAAUCUUUGUUUGCCUAAAUUUAUCUAAACACAUAUUCCACAGAAUGAAAAUUAAAUCAUACUUAGUAUCCAUUUCUUUAAUUAGGAUGAAGUGACCAUUUCUGGGAAAGUGGAAGUAUAUAACAUUUGUACUUAAUUAAAUUCAACUUAAAUAUCACUCCUAAUAUUCCAUUACUUUCUGUAGUGCAGAGAAUGUUGUUAAGAGGUAAAUGUUUAAUUCCCUUUGAUAGUCCUUUGUUUCUGUUAUGCAGCUAUCCUUAGAAACAUAGUAUUUAAUCAAUUUCUAAAGCCUGGGUCUAUGAGAGAUUUAUGAGAUUUAUUCAGUAAACUAAAAUAGUGUCAAGAUGUCAAAGAAAUGUGAUUGAUAUUUUAAAUUGACUUGACAUGUUGUUAUCUGGUUAAGGUUUUAAUGUUUUUCAAAAAUUACAUGAGGUAAAAACAAUAAUUAAUGGCUUGCCUUUGAUAUUAUCAGAUAUUAUUCUGCAGGAAGACUGGGCUGAUGAGGUUCCUGCCACAGGAUGGUGGAAUGGAUAUAGAAUGAAAACAAAGGAAAAAAGUGUACAUAGCCCUGUUUUUCAGAAAUCUGAUACAUUUGAUGAUGUCAAAUGGGUAACAUAUGUCAACCACCAAAGAUAGAUCUGAGGCUAUCUUAGACCAUCCGACUCCAGCUGAACUGCCAACUACCCGUAUAGAUUUGGGAAGGAGCCAGCAGCCAGCAGGCCCAGACCAAAAGAACUGCCCAUUACAAAGUGUGUGUUGGAUUCUUUG